UAUAUUACACAUCGGGAAAAUAUAGAGAAAAACAAGAUAUUUAUACAUUGUAAAUUUCGUUAUUUAGAAAUUGUCGUGAGCAUUUUACACACUUUAUUGAAAACCAAUUAUAUAUAACAAUACAUAAUUUCGAUAUACGUAUUAAAUUUAUCCAUCCAAGUGUUUUCAUUAUUUAGUACAACAAACAUAUACAUAAGUAGAGAUUAUUAAUCUACAACGAAAUCAAUAAAUAUGACAUGUAGAAGUAUGCGGUGUAAAAUUACCUGGUACUGAGGAUGUCUUCCUAAUGCAUACAGGAACCAGGAUAUGCUGGUCGCAGUGGUAUCGUGACCCGCGAACAUAAACGUAUUCACCUCAUCACGGAUAUCAACGUCACUAAGUACUUCUCCAUCUUUCGAUAAUUCCA